rnacentral:rRNA from 1 species
AUUGAACGCUGGCGGCAGGCCUAACACAUGCAAGUCGAGCGGAUGAAGGGAGCUUGCUCCUGGAUUCAGCGGCGGACGGGUGAGUAAUGCCUAGGAAUCUGCCUGGUAGUGGGGGAUAACGUCCGGAAACGGGCGCUAAUACCGCAUACGUCCUGAGGGAGAAAGUGGGGGAUCUUCGGGCCUCACGCUAUCAGAUGAGCCUAGGUCGGAUUAGCUAGUUGGUGGGGUAAAGGCCUACCAAGGCGACGAUCCGUAACUGGUCUGAGAGGAUGAUCAGUCACACUGGAACUGAGACACGGUCCAGACUCCUACGGGAGGCAGCAGUGGGGAAUAUUGGACAAUGGGCGAAAGCCUGAUCCAGCCAUGCCGCGUGUGUGAAGAAGGUCUUCGGAUUGUAAAGCACUUUAAGUUGGGAGGAAGGGCAGUAAGUUAAUACCUUGCUGUUUUGACGUUACCAACAGAAUAAGCACCGGCCAACUUCGUG